rnacentral:rRNA from 1 species
GAAGCCGGAAUUGCUAGUAAUGGCAGGUCAGCAUACUGCCGUGAAUACGUUCCCGGGCCUUGUACACACCGCCCGUCACACCAUGAGAGUUGGGAUACCCGAAGCCUGUGAGCUAACUUAACGGAGGCAGCAGUCGAAGGUAGAAUCAAUGAUUGGGGUGAAGUCGUAACAAGGUAGC